rnacentral:rRNA from 1 species
UACGAGGGGAGCAAGCGUUGUUCGGAUUUACUGGGCGUAAAGGGCGCGUAGGCGGUCAGCACAAGUCAGUUGUGAAAUCUCCGGGCUUAACUCGGAAAGGUCAACUGAUACUGUGCGACUAGAGUGCGGAAGGGGCAACUGGAAUUCUCGGUGUAGCGGUGAAAUGCGCAGAUAUCGAGGAGGAACACCGCGGCGAAGGCGGGUGCU